rnacentral:rRNA from 1 species
CCUACGGGGGGCUGCAGUGGGGAAUAUUGGACAAUGGGGGGAACCCUGAUCCAGCCAUGCCGCGUGUGUGAAGAAGGCCCUCGGGUUGUAAAGCACUUUCAGUGAGGAAGAACGCCUGGUGGUUAAUACCCAUCAGGAAAGACAUCACUCACAGAAGAAGCACCGGCUAACUCCGUGCCAGCAGCCGCGGUAAUACGGAGGGUGCGAGCGUUAAUCGGAAUUACUGGGCGUAAAGCGCGCGUAGGUGGCUUGAUAAGCCGGUUGUGAAAGCCCCGGGCUCAACCUGGGAACGGCAUCCGGAACUGUCAAGCUAGAGUGCAGGAGAGGAAGGUAGAAUUCCCGGUGUAGCGGUGAAAUGCGUAGAGAUCGGGAGGAAUACCAGUGGCGAAGGCGGCCCUCUGGACUGACACUGACACUGAGGUGCGAAAGCGUGGGUAGCAAACAGGAUUAGAUACCCCGGUAGUC